rnacentral:lncRNA from 1 species
GGCUCUGGCUCUGGCUCUGGCUCUGGCUCUGGCUCUGGCUCUGGCUCUGGCUCUGGCUCUGGCUCUGGCUCUGGUUCAGGUUCAGGUUCAGGUUCAGGCUCUGGUUCAGGCUCAGGCACCGGCUCAGGAUCUGGUUCUGGUUCAGGUUCAUCAUCUGAAGCAGGCGAUAACGGUGACAGUACAGGAGAUUCAAGUGCAGCAGCAUCCGCAGCCGCAGCAGCAGCAGCAGCAGCAGGAAACGCGAAUGGUGCAGAUGAUAGUACUGGGGAUGCUUUAGGUCUUGUUUCAUCAGCAACAGCAACAGCCAAGGCAGCAGCAGAUUCAGCUAAAAACUUAUUAUCCGGUACAGAUACAGAUAGUUUCGCAUCAACAUCAGCUUUAUCCGAUGCCUUUUCAUCAUCUGGAGGUUCAUCAUCGUCUGGAGGUUCAUCAUCUUCAGGAGGUUCAUCAUCAUCUGGAGGUUCAUCAUCUUCUUCAGGAGGCUCAUCAUCUUCAGGAGAUUCAUCAUCAUCUGGAG